rnacentral:rRNA from 1 species
UGACCUUGUUAAACGGCCGCAGUACCCUAACCGCGCGAAGGUAGCAUAAUCACUUGUUCUUUAAAUGAGGACUUGUAUCAACGGCAUCACGAGGGUUCCACUGUCUCCUUUUUCUAAUCAGUGAAACUAAUUUCCCCGUGAAGAAGCGAGGAUGAACCUAUAAGACGAGAAGACCCCAUGGAGCUUUAAACCUAGCUACACCCCCGACCACUAUAUCACUUAACAAAUCGGAGACCUGUCAUGCUUAGUUUUAGGUUGGGGUGACCGCGGAGUACAAUAAAACCUCCAUGAUGAACGAAACUAUUCUCUUAUCUAAGAACCACAUUUCCAAGAAUUAGCACACUAACAUUAAAUGAUCCGAUAAACGAUCAACGAACCAAGUUACCCUGGGGAUAACAGCGCAAUCCAUUUCAAGAGCCCCUAUCGACAAAUGGGUUUACGACCUCGAUGUUGGAUCAGGAUAUCCCAGUGGUGCAGCAGCUACUAAAGGUUCGUUUGUUCAACAAUUAAAAUCCU